rnacentral:lncRNA from 1 species
GCCGGGUGCGGUGGCUCACACCUGUAAUCCCAGCACUUUGGGAGGCUGAGGUGGGCGGAUCACCUGAGGUCAAGAGUUCAAGACCAGCCUGGCCGACAUGAGGAAACUCUGUCUCUACUAAAAAUACAAAAAUUAGCUGGGCAUGGUGGCAGGCGCCUGUAAUCCCAGCUACUAGGGAGGCCAAGGCAGGAGAAUCACCUGAACCUGGGAAGUGGAGGUUGCAGUGAGGUGAGAUGGUGCCACUGUACUCCAGCCUGGGCAACAAGAGUGAAACUCCAUCU